rnacentral:rRNA from 1 species
GACGAACGCUGGCGGCGUGCUUAACACAUGCAAGUCGAACGAAGUGGCGAACGGGUGAGUAACGCGUAAUCAACCUGCCCUUCAGAGGGGGACAACAGUUGGAAACGACUGCUAAUACCGCAUACGGAAGGAGGGGAUUGCGUCGGAUUAGCUAGUUGGGGGGGGAACGGCCCACCAAGGCGAUGGUCAGUAGGCGGGUCGGGGGGGAUGACCGGCAAAAUGGGACUUGGACACGGCCCAGACUCCUACGGGAGGCAACCGUGGGGAAACUUUGGCAAUUGGGGGAAAGCUGACGGAGCAACUCCGGGGGAGUGAUGGCGGGCUUCGGGUUGGAAAGCUCUGUUAAUCGGGAAGCGGUACCGGGAGAGAAAGCAACGGCUAACUACGUGCCAGCCGCCGCGGUAAUUC